UACGUAGGGGGCAAGCGUUGGUCCGGAAUCAUUGGCGUAAAGCGCGUGUAGGCGGCCCGAUAAGUCCGCUGUGAAAGUCCAGGGCUCAACCCUGGGAUGCCGGUGGAUACUGUCGGGCUCGAGUCCGGAAGAGGCGAGUGGAACUCCUGGUGUAGCGGUGGAAUGCGCAGAUAUCAGGAAGAACACCAACGGCGAAGGCAGCUCGCUGGGACGGUACUGACGCUGAGACGCGAAAGCGUGGGGAGCGAACAGG
rnacentral:rRNA from 1 species